AAUAGAAAAUAAUUUUACUGUACAUAUACCUCUCCAAAAGGGAUGAUAUGAUUUCUAAGUAUCGUUUCGACCAUUUAAAUAUGUCUGGAUAUACUCAGAAGCAAGGAUUCGAUUAUUUUAAGAAAUUGUGUCAUUGAAUGGUCUCCAAGAAGUUGUGAGUUAUUUGAAGUCAUUGGUCUUUAACAAUAAACCAGACUCUCUUCAAGCUGAAGAAGUCAAUAUUGAACGUGCUAUUAAUGACAAAUGAUUUGUUUUAGUGGAAAAUUACUCGAAAAUUGGGUUCAUCGAAUUCCUUAACAAUUAGUGUGUUUUUGUUUAUCACUAUUAUUGGAAAACCCUGUAUUUGAAAUGAAAAAAAAACCGGAAAUAACUGAUUUAUGGAUAACUGUUUUCAAAUUCGCUCAAAAUGAAAGGGUUUUCAUUAGAAAAUCUUAAAUUCUUCUAAAAUUUUCCGGUGAUAUUCCGCGUAGCUUCCAUAUUACAGUCUUAAACAUAUACAUACAUACAUAUGUAUGUAUGAAUAUGAAGAUCACCAAAUUUAGCUUUAGGUUUAGAACCAUAAUACCAUAUUAUUUGCAACUUGAGUUUCUGCAUUCAUUCAAAUGAACAUAUGUUGCUAAUUUGCCACCAAAACAGCAGUCAUGCAUGCAAGCAGUAAUACAUAUUCAUAUAUAAAAAUAUAAGUACAUACAUAUGUAUGUAUGUAUAUUCACACGAUAUAAAUAUAACCAUAAGACGAUCAACAUUGAAUUUGCAGAAAUGAGUAGCUGUAUCCGCUCAAACAGCAUGUCUCAGAGCCGGCCUCCGCAGUGGCCAUACUUGGAUAGCUUUUCAGAAACUAGUAUUUUAUGUAUAUGUAUAAUAUAUUUGUAUGACGUUAUUUUUGUGUGUUUUGGUGUCUUUGACUUUAAAUGGUAGAGAAUUUUUUCUUGCAUCACUGGCUAGUUGUUGCGGUUUUGUAGCUCUCACCCAAUAUUUUCCAACAUUUUUAGCCGCUCCUAAGUGUGUAUAUAAAUAUAUAUACAUGUGUAACUACACAUGUAUGUGUGUAUAUGGAUGUUUUUCACAAACAUUUAGGUUGAUCUAUUUUCGCUGACGUCGCCAUCUUAAUAAAUCUAUUUUGAAAGAUGGAGAUGUAAACUAUAUUUUAGGCUCUUCCAAAAUGGAAAUGCUUUGAGAGUACGCUAUGCAGCCAACUAACUGCACAUGUGCGUAUGUAUAUGUAUGUAUUUAAUUGUAUGUACAUAUGUAUGUAUGCAUCUACCUUUCACGACUUCUACUCGUUGAAGUAGAAACAAACCAAAAAUUUAAUAAGAUAAUGAACGAAAGUGGCAGAUGUUCGCCUUUAACGAAAUUUCUUAAUUAUUAAAUGAUUUUUUUGCUGAAAUACCGUUAAAAAAUAAAAUAGCUGUUUACAAAUUUUCGAAAGAGCUCAGUUAAGGAGGUAAAUUUAGUAAUAAUGAUAUGAUAUUAGUAUUAAUAUGAUACUAUGCGUACAUACAUAUGUACAUAUGUAUGUAUACUCGUAUGUGUAUGUAGACAUUCACGUCUUUCUAUUAAAUGGCGUACACUUUCAUUCUACAAAAAUUAUCAACUCUAUUACUUGAUAAAACCGUGGAAAACACAACAAAUAUUUCGAUAAAAAUAUAUUUAGACAUACAUAUGUACAUACAAAUGCAUAUUUGCAGCGGUUACGAUUUGUUAAAAUUUAUUUUCGAAUAAAACAAAAAUCUGGUAUUAGUUCCAUAUGUUCAGUUCCCUACUACCGGAAUAAUCACUUUCAAUAUCCGGCUUUCAUUGUUUUCAUUCUAUCCUCAGGCGGAAAUAUCCGCUGCCUGGCAUGAGUUAUCAGUAUCAUUAUUUAGACAUAUUGAGGAGCGAAAUGGAACCAUUUGCUUUCAAUUUCAUGUCCCUUGGCUGGACUUUUAUGCAGGAUAAUGACCCAAAGCACACAGCGAAGGUCAUAAAGGAUUGGCUUAAGAGAAAAAACAAAUGUUUUGGAUUGGCCAACGCAAAGCCCUGACCUUAAUCCAAUAGAAAACUUAUAGAACGAUGUUAAACUUAAAACUCCUGCUAAAAAUUUCAGAAAUUUUGAGAAUUUAUGGGAAGGUAUUGGUAAACCAUCUCAAAGGGGAGAUGAAAGAAGCUUGUAGAAAGCAUAGUACUGAGAUGUAAUGCUGCGAUUGGAAAUCGGGGAUAUAGGACCUAGUAUAAAAAACGUUUUGUAAAUUGUGCAACUUGAAUAUUCAAUACUAAUUAUUUGUGAAUUACUAUUGUAUGUACAUAAGUGCACACCUUAAAAGCUCGCUCAACACAUUUACAAUGAAUGCGGAAAAAGUAUUGAUUUUUUAGAGGGCAAACACUGCGUUGGAACGUUUGAAGAAGAAAGGAUAAUGCGGCAAACAGAGAAUCCUAUGAGUCAUGCCUAUAUGUAUGUAAAUAUAACGGCCGGCUACCUAGCGACAGCUAUGUAGGCUCAGCCAACGCUUUGAUGAUGAUGAUGUCAUGUGCGCAUAAAUACUUCACUUCACGUUGGUGUUGUUAUAAACAUGCGAUGUAGUCACCAAUGACGA